rnacentral:lncRNA from 10 species
UAGGAACUUUAAUUUUAAAGGAGCCUGAAAUUUGGUCCAUUAUCAAAGAGCAUCUUGUCUUGGGAUCGAGUGAAUCUGACUGUGAAAAAAAAAAAAGAAUGACAAAUGAAGAGAGGAAAGAAGAAAAGAAAUCUAUUUAAACUAAAAAGAUGCUCAUGAAACAUAAAAGCAAAAUACCAAUGUCAGAAAAUAAUACAUUUGCCUUAUAAGUAAAUAAAAUAUAAUACAAGCAUAUUUAUGAUCUGACUUAGGCUGUAUUGAAUAAUUCUUAAGGCACAAUACAUAAGAGAAUUUUUAACCUUUGUCUUUAACAUAAAAUAUGUCUAAAGCCACCAAUUUUAAUGCUAAAUUUUAAAUGAAAAAAAAACACACCUUAAAACAAUUAUGGAAGAUCAGACAAAUAACACUCUAAUAACAUUGUCCUCAAUUUUCCAGUAUAAUUUUCACAAAUAUAUUUGUAGG